rnacentral:rRNA from 1 species
UGGAGUCUGCAACUCGACUCCAUGAAGUCGGAAUUGCUAGUAAUCGUAGGUCAGCAUACUACGGUGAAUACGUUCCCGGGCCUUGUACACACCGCCCGUCAAACCAUGAGAGUCGGCAACACCCGAAGUCGGUAGUCUAACCGCAAGGAGGACGCCGCCGAAGGUGGGGUUGAUGAUUAGGGUUAAGUCGUAACAAGGUAUC